AUACGUAGGGUGCAAGCGUUAAUCGGAAUUACUGGGCGUAAAGCGUGCGCAGGCGGUUUUGUAAGACAGAGGUGAAAUCCCCGGGCUCAACCUGGGAACUGCCUUUGUGACUGCCAGGCUAGAGUACGGCAGAGGGGGGUGGAAUUUCGCGUGUAGCAGGGAAAGGCGUAGAUAUGCGGAGGAACACCGAUGGCGAAGGCAAUCCCCUGGGCCUGUACUGACGCUCAUGCACGAAAGCGUGGGGAGCAAACAGGAUUAGAUACCCUGGUAGUCCACGCCCUAAACGAUGUCAACUGGUUGUUGGGUCUUCAUUGACUCAGUAACGAAGCUAACGCGUGAAGUUGACCGCCUGGGGAGUACGGCCGCAAGGUUGAAACUCAAAUGAAUUGACGGGG
rnacentral:rRNA from 1 species